AGAGUUUGAUCAUGGCUCAGGACGAACGCUGGCGGCGCGCCUAACACAUGCAAGUCGAACGGAGUUAUUCCGAAUGAAGUUUUCGGAUGGAUUUUGGAAUAACUUAGUGGCGAACGGAUGAGUAACGCGUGAGUAACCUGCCCUGGAGUGGGGGACAACAGUUGGAAACGACUGCUAAUACCGCAUAAGCCCACGGCCCGG
rnacentral:rRNA from 1 species